UCCCACAAAACUGCAUUGCGGUCCAAGCUUUCACUCAGCUUAAGAAUCAGCUCACUGUGAUUAAUGGGUCCAAGUCCACCUCUGUAGUUCUGCUCAACGGCCUCUUGGGGAAACCUGACACGAGACCUUGUGGCUCUGCUUACAGAUGAGCAGACUUCUCACAGCUGAAUUAUCAUCCGCUGGCCAAUGAAACACCUCCACUAAGCCGUGAUUCAGCAGGAAGAGACUCUCUGAGGAGAAGACGAUAACAUUGAGUCACCUUGCUGCAUUGUGAACCUCUGGCAGCCCAGAGGCAGGAUUCAGCAGCAGAGAAUCCACUGCAGAUCUGCACUGGACUGCACAGCAACUGCAUGUGUGUGUGUGUGUGUGUGUGUGUGUGUGUGUAUGUAUUUUCUGUGAGUAGAUUAGUAUGUACAAAUGAAGGUCUGUAUGGUGAAACGAUGAUAAAUCAUAACAAGGUCAAAUAACAGCAACUGAGUACAGCAACGACAUGAUUACGCUGCAGUAUACAAUGCAACAGUCCUGCUGCUACCCUUCAUGUCGCAGACGACUUGAGGGAUGGGCGACUAUUUUUGCAAAUGCAAAAAUGUAAUGCUGAUUAGUUCAGCUUCAGACUAAUUAAAAAAGUUUUUAGUUUAUGCAAAUCUUUUCUGUUCUUAAGUUGACCCACUGUAACAAUGCAGAGCACUGCAUGCAGAGCACUAAGAUGCAGUAAAUUUUCUCAUGCAAUCUGCUGCACUUAUGCGGUGCUGCUUUGACGUUGUGUCAUAUUAGGAACACAAUGUAUAAUUUAUAUAUGACUGAGAAGUAGAUUACAUGUGUAUCCUGUCUAUGGCAUGGUCUGGGAUUAUAGCUGGUAAAUAAAUUGAAAUGAACAAUAUAUCAGAAUUACAAUAUCA